AUUAUUAAUUUAAUAUUUUUGCGUAUAAUUUAGGGAAUACGGCCCAAAGUUUCUACCAGACUACCGUAAAUGGUCUGACUACGCAGAUUGAGUAAUGAUUA
rnacentral:ncRNA from 2 species